AUUGAACGCUGGCGGCAGGCCUAACACAUGCAAGUCGAGCGGAUGACGGGAGCUUGCUCCUUGAUUCAGCGGCGGACGGGUGAGUAAUGCCUAGGAAUCUGCCUGGUAGUGGGGGACAACGUUUCGAAAGGAACGCUAAUACCGCAUACGUCCUACGGGAGAAGGCAGGGGACCUUCGGGCCUUGCGCUAUCAGAUGAGCCUAGGUCGGAUUAGCUAGUUGGUGGGGUAAUGGCUCACCAAGGCGACGAUCCGUAACUGGUCUGAGAGGAUGAUCAGUCACACUGGAACUGAGACACGGUCCAGACUCCUACGGGAGGCAGCAGUGGGGAAUAUUGGACAAUGGGCGAAAGCCUGAUCCAGCCAUGCCGCGUGUGUGAAGAAGGUCUUCGGAUUGUAAAGCACUUUAAGUAGGGAGGAAGGGCAGUAAGCUAAUACCUUGCUGUUUUGACGUUACCGACAGAAUAAGCACCGGCUAACUCUGUGCCAGCCGCCGCGGUAA
rnacentral:rRNA from 1 species